AACGAACGCUGGCGGCAGGCCUAACACAUGCAAGUCGAGCGAGACCUUCGGGUCUAGCGGCGGACGGGUGAGUAACGCGUGGGAACGUGCCCUUCUCUACGGAAUAGUCCCGGGAAACUGGGUUUAAUACCGUAUACGCCCUUUUGGGGGAAAGAGUUUAUCGGAGAAGGAUCGGCCCGCGUUAGAUUAGGAGUUGGUGGGGUAACGGCCUACCAAGCCUACGAUCUAUAGCUGGUUUUAGAGGAUGAUCAGCAACACUGGGACUGAGACACGGCCCAGACUCCUACGGGAGGCAGCAGUGGGGAAUCUUAGACAAUGGGGGCAACCCUGAUCUAGCCAUGCCGCGUGAGCGAUGAAGGCCUUAGGGUCGUAAAGCUCUUUCGCCUGUGAUGAUAAUGACAGUAGCAGGUAAAGAAACCCCGGCUAACUCCGUG
rnacentral:rRNA from 1 species